rnacentral:rRNA from 1 species
UACGUAGGGGGCGAGCGUUGUCCGGAAUCAUUGGGCGUAAAGAGCUCGUAGGCGGCUUUGCAAGUCGGGUGUGAAAACUCCAGGCUCAACCUGGAGCGGCCACUCGAUACUGCAAUGGCUAGAGCCCGGUAGGGGACCAUGGAAUUCCUGGUGUAGCGGUGAAAUGCGCAGAUAUCAGGAAGAACACCAGUGGCGAAGGCGGUGGUCUGGGCCGGAACUGACGCUGAGGAGCGAAAGCGUGGGGAGCGAACAGG